AUGCAAGUCGAAGAAGGAUUGGCCCGUGCUGCCGGCUGGCGUCAAGCGGAUCAGGAGCUGAUCGAGCACCUUGAGGCCAAAGUGAGUGCUGACAGCGCGAGAUUUCAGUCUCUCAUCGAUUUGUUCAUACCAACCAUCGACAGCGAGCACGGCAUAUGUUACACCCAACCUGAGAAACUUCUAGCAAAAAAGGUUCUGGUGCUGCACACCAACAACAACUUUGACCAGCAGAGGACCAACUGGGUGAUGCACAAGUACCACCUCGGGGACCUGGAGAAAGAGAAGGAGCGGGAGCUGGUCCUCUGCAAGAUUUUCUACCAGACGAACACUAGGGCCAGGAGUAAAAAGAUUAUAAGUUAG
rnacentral:rRNA from 1 species